GAUCAUAACAUGUUGAGAGUUCGUCUUUGUGAAGCAUGAUUUGAUGAAGAAUCGAUUAAACGAAGGGAUAAUGGUUCAUUAAUCGCUCAUAUUGCUAAACUUGAAGCUCAGGUGGAGAUGGUCAAAUGAAUGAUUUAGUUUGCUGCUAUUAUCAUUGGAACCGCGAUUGGUUUAAACGUGGUAAGUGGAGUUAGUUGAGCCAGUCCUCAGAGUGUUGUCAUAACCGAAAGGUAACCUCAAACAGAUUACUUCUUUGGUUGUGAAGAUCGUGUGAUUUUGGAAUAAGAAGUCUGGGCUGAGAUUCGUUUCGUUUGAGUCUCUCGACUGCGGCUUCUUCUGAGCUGAUGUGGGUGGGGCAAAGUUCCAUGGCUUGGUUGUAACUCCGUCAUUCCACCGCGUCAAGAGGUAGUCGUUUUUACGCGGUCACGGAUUUGCAAA